GCUGUUAAGGGUUCGUAGUUGGGACAAGAGACUUGGGGUUCUGGGUGUUCCCUCACGGGGCGCUUGCCCAGUUCACCCACGCUCGCUAGCGACGGAAGAGAGCUCCUGCGGAAAUCCCUUGUGGGUGGUGCAACUCCGCAUACAUCGUGCCACGGAGCAUCCGUCGUAUCACUGUGACAAAACAGCGUGUCCAAAGCAGCCGUUGAUGGCUGAAUGCAAAAGCAUGGAAUGACGAGGGUCGACCUUUGAGGCCAUCCUCUUGUUGGUUUAUUCGGCCCUAUGAGGGAAGAUUGGGUUGUUGUCUCUGUGUCUUCUGUGGCGUUUUGCCUCACGGCAGGGCGUACAGAGAGCGCUUGGCCUCGGCCCUAUUGGGAUCAAGAGGGGCUGUCGGGGGAAGCCGUAUCGGGAUGCGAGGGUGAAAUUCCGUGACCAUCCCGAGACGAACGUGUGCGAAGGCAGCUUCCAAGUAUGCCUUCCUCAUCAAGAACCAAAG
rnacentral:rRNA from 1 species